rnacentral:piRNA from 1 species
UGCCAACCAAAAUCAAAGAACACCUGGG